rnacentral:lncRNA from 1 species
AUGAAAUGGAAAGGAGUUGUCGUGUAUUCCUCUUUUCUCCUUUUUUUUUUUUUUCUUUCAGAGAAUAAGAGCAGAAGGUCUUGUUUUGCACUGACGGGCUGGGAGGCACAUGUUCAGCGAACUUCUGCACAGGAAGUAAAUGUCCAGUCAGUGUGUGUGGCCUCCAGACCCUCCAGCAGGUGCCUCACCCCCCUGCCACCUCCUCACAGUUCCCUGGGUGGGAGACCCCCAAGGGAGACAAUCUUCAGCAGACAAUCCAUGGGAAGCUCUCCAUGGUGAGUAGCACUUUCUUCCAGAAAAGCCACUCCAAAGUGUCACACUACACCUGGUGCCACCAGGAAUCUGUCUGUGUGGCACAGGCAGUCAUCCUGGGAGUCCUGGGAAAGCAGCUCUACGCCUCUGUUCCUAUACCAGCAAUUGGUGAGUAUUUGCUCUAUUUCCAAAAUUAAGCACUUUUCCUUGGUCAGUAAGCUGCAGGGCUGGCUUAAGAAUUAUCUGGAGUAACAGCUAUAGUCUCUUGAAUUGAGACCAUUAUUUUUUUCCUUUAAGUUUUGUGUUAAUCCAAGGUAACUGGCCUCUAGACCUGGGCUCUCCAUUGAUCUCCUUGAAUGAUAUAAUUAGGUUUUCUACAGAGUUGCCUGCUUUCCUCACUGUAACUAGGUAUAGAUUUCAUCUUUACUGUGGGCUAAACUGUAUGGUCAGAUGGGCUGCAGUAAAUUUAGCAGGGGGUUAAUUUAAUGUCCCGGAGUCUGGGUGACUGGGUGGAGUAGGACUGGAAUAUGUUGUUUCUCUGGAGUGAAUCUGAAGCAAGUAUACUUUAUAAGCUCUCCUGUACAGUGUAUCUCUUCCUAGUAUCCUGGAGAAGAGCCUGUAAGACUGGUUUAUUUCUUCCUGGGGAACUGGGUUGAGCAAGAUCAUGUUUGGGCAUUGAGAUUACCUGGAUGUUGCGCUGGGCUGGAACAGCAAUCUGCUUCUUUUCUUGGGAGCAGGAGAAAUGACGUAAAGACAAGGAAACCUGGCUUAGUUAUAUGUUAUAUGUGUAUUAGUCUAAGCUUUUUGGACUGACCAAAGUAAGGCUGAAGUGUCUUUCAGAGAUUGAGCAGUUUAUAUUUGGUAAAACCAGAUUUUGCCCUCAGAGCUGGCUAGAUUUUCAUAAUCACCUUACAAAUCUUUACUCAACUAGCGUGCCCCCAUUUCUAUUUGGCUGGUAAAUAUCUUGAUAGAUAGCACAAGUAAAUAAAUAAAUAAAUAUAAGCAUGCACAGUUGUGUUUUUUCUUUUGAAGUGUGUGAGUAUUGAGAGCUUGGUUGUUAUUUAUCCUUGGCUGUUCCUCUUAUCUCCACUUAAGAUUUUUACAUCUUGUUAAUUAAUAUUGUUGCUAUCAUACUCUGCCUUGCAUUUUUAAGGACCUCUGACUGAAGUUAAAUCUGAGGUGAUACGAGCAGCAGCAGUUUGUGAAGCUAUUGUUUUAUGGAGUAUCAAUUACCAGCAGUUUUCUCUGAUUUCACUUGUAUAUGUGGCUCUUUACUACCCCUAGAAAUUAGUCCUGAAAAUAAGGAACAGCAAGUCUAGAUGUUUUUCUACCAUCAUCCUCUUAGAGCUAGAACAUACUAUGGAUGACUGGACUAAUAUUAGAUUCUUGUCUGAAAGCUACUCUAGUGAGUGAAAGAAUCAAACCAUACAAAAUUAUGAUAGGAGAGAGUAAUGCACAGCAGUGUGUCCCUUUCUGGGCCACUUGCCCCUCAUCCUGCAGGAAGACAGCUGUAGUGCAACUGGUCAGUGUAGGAGGAAGGGAAGGUGGCUUUCUCUUGUGUCUUCAGAGCACAAAAUCCACAUAUCUAGGAUGAAAGUCAAAUGGCUGUGGCAGAAGUUUAGGAAAUAAAUGAUUAGUCCUGACUUUACCACAUUUUUCUCUAUGUGACUGGGUCCAUUCAUUCCAUUCCAUUCCAUUCCAUUCCAUUCCAUUCCAUUCCAUUCCAUUCCAUUCCAUUCCAUUCCAUUCCAUUCCAUUCCAUUCCAUUCCAUUCCAUUCCAUUCCAUUCCAUUCCAUUCCAUUCCAUUCCAUUCCAUUCCAUUCCAUUCCAUUCCAUUCCAUUCCAUUCCA